rnacentral:rRNA from 1 species
AUGUCCCUCACCUCGCCGCCGGCCACGACCUUGGCUCUCCCCUCCCCUCCCUCAUCAGACGAGAACCCCGAGGGCGUGCUGUCCGGCGAGUGGCCCGACAACUUCUCCCUCGCCAGCUACGACGACCUCCGCCAGUACCUCGAGUCCCAGAUCGUCUCCACCGACAAGAUGAGCCCCACGGCGAAGCUCGGGGAGGUGAUGUCGCGCCCGGUGGAGGUGGCCACGCCGGACCAGAAGCUGGCCGAGAUCGACGCCCUCUUCGUCACCCAGUCCGGCCUGCCCGUCGUCGAUGGCGAGGGCAGGUGCAUCGGGGUCGUCUCCAAGAAGGACAAGGCCAGGGCCUCCAAUGGGUUGGACUAAACCAUUGGAGAAGUCAUGUCCUCUCCUGCUGUAACUCUGACUCUAGAGAAGACUGUCUUGGAAGCUGCUGCACUAAUGCUCAAGCACAAAGUUCACAGGAUACCAGUUGUGAAUGAACAACAGCAAGUGAUCGGUAAGAGUUGGCAAAUCCCUUUGAUUGCCAUUUCUGAAAAAUAA